GACGAACGCUGGCGGCGUGCUUAACACAUGCAAGUCGAACGGAAAGGCCCUGCUUUUGUGGGGUGCUCGAGUGGCGAACGGGUGAGUAACACGUGAGUAACCUGCCCUUGACUUUGGGAUAACUUCAGGAAACUGGGGCUAAUACCGGAUAGGAGCUCCUGCUGCAUGGUGGGGGUUGGAAAGUUUCGGCGGUCGGGGAUGGACUCGCGGCUCAUCAGCUUGUUGGUGGGGUAGUGGCUUACCAAGGCUUUGACGGGUAGCCGGCCUGAGAGGGUGACCGGCCACAUUGGGACUGAGAUACGGCCCAGACUCCUACGGGAGGCAGCAGUGGGGAAUAUUGCACAAUGGGCGGAAGCCUGAUGCAGCAACGCCGCGUGCGGGAUGACGGCUUUCGGGUUGUAAACCGCUUUCGCCUGUGACGAAGCGUGAGUGACGGUAAUGGGUAAAGAAGCACCGGCUAACUACGUG
rnacentral:rRNA from 1 species